GUGCUUGCUUGGCAGCACAUAUACUAAAAUUGGAAUGAUACAGAGAAGACUAGAAUGGCUCCUGCAGAAGGAUGACAUGCAAAUUCAUAAAGUGUUCCAUAUUUUU